rnacentral:rRNA from 1 species
UGGCGGCGUGCUAUACAUGCAAGUAGAACGCUGAGGUUUGGUGUUUACACUAGACUGAUGAGUUGCGAACGGGUAAGUAACGCGUAGGUAACCUGCCUCAUAGCGGGGGAUAACUAUUGGAAACGAUAGCUAAUACCGCAUAAGAGUAAUUAACACAUGUUAGGUAUUUAAAAGGAGCAAUUGCUUCACUGUGAGAUGGACCUGCGUUGUAUUAGCUAGUUGGUGAGGUAAAGGCUCACCAAGGCGACGAUACAUAGCCGACCUGAGAGGGUGAUCGGCCACACUGGGACUGAGACACGGCCCAGACUCCUACGGGAGGCAGCAGUAGGGAAUCUUCGGCAAUGGACGGAAGUCUGACCGAGCAACGCCGCGUGAGUGAAGAAGGUUUUCGGAUCGUAAAGCUCUGUUGUUAGAGAAGAACGUUGGUAGGAGUGGAAAAUCUACCAAGUGACGGUAACUAACCAGAAAGGGACGGCUAACUACGUGCCAGCAGCCGCGGUAAUACGUAGGUCCCGAGCGUUGUCCGGAUUUAUUGGGCGUAAAGCGAGCGCAGGCGGUUCUUUAAGUCUGAAGUUAAAGGCAGUGGCUUAACCAUUGAACGCUUUGGAAACUGGAGGACUUGAGUGCAGAAGGGGAGAGUGGAAUUCCAUGUGUAGCGGUGAAAUGCGUAGAUAUAUGGAGGAACACCGGUGGCGAAAGCGGCUCUCUGGUCUGUAACUGACGCUGAGGCUCGAAAGCGUGGGGAGCAAACAGGAUUAGAUACCCUGGUAGUCCACGCCGUAAACGAUGAGUGCUAGGUGUUAGGCCCUUUCCGGGGCUUAGUGCCGCAGCUAACGCAUUAAGCACUCCGCCUGGGGAGUACGACCGCAAGGUUGAAACUCAAAGGAAUUGACGGGGGCCCGCACAGGCGGUGGAGCAUGUGGUUUAAUUCGAAGCAACGCGAAGAACCUUACCAGGUCUUGACAUCCUUCUGACCGGCCUAGAGAUAGGCUUUCUCUUCGGAGCAGAAGUGACAGGUGGUGCAUGGUUGUCGUCAGCUCGUGUCGUGAGAUGUUGGGUUAAGUCCCGCAACGAGCGCAACCCCUAUUGUUAGUUGCCAUCAUUAAGUUGGGCACUCUAGCGAGACUGCCGGUAAUAAACCGGAGGAAGGUGGGGAUGACGUCAAAUCAUCAUGCCCCUUAUGACCUGGGCUACACACGUGCUACAAUGGUUGGUACAACGAGUCGCAAGCCGGUGACGGCAAGCUAAUCUCUUAAAGCCAAUCUCAGUUCGGAUUGUAGGCUGCAACUCGCCUACAUGAAGUCGGAAUCGCUAGUAAUCGCGGAUCAGCACGCCGCGGUGAAUACGUUCCCGGGCCUUGUACACACCGCCCGUCACACCACGAGAGUUUGUAACACCCGAAGUCGGUGAGGUAACCUUUUGGGAGCCAGCCGCC